GAUGAAGAACGUAGCGAAAUGCGAUAAGUAAUGUGAAUUGCAGAAUUCAGUGAAUCAUCGAAUCUUUGAACGCACAUUGCGCCCGCCAGUAUUCUGGCGGGCAUGCCUGUUCGAGCGCCAUUUCAACCAUCAAGCCCCAGGCUUGUGUUGGAGCCCUGCGGCUGCCGCAGCCUCCCAAAACCAGUGGCGGGCUCGCUAUCACACCGAGUGCAGUAGUUUACUCUUCGCUCAGGGCGUGUGGCGGGUGCUAGCCGUAAAACCCCCACCUUCUCAAGGUUGACCUCGGAUCAGGUAGGAAUACCCGCUGAACUUAAGCAUAUCAAUAAGCUGAGGA
rnacentral:misc_RNA from 1 species